UAACACGUGCAAGUCGAGCGGGAAAGUUCCCUUCGGGGAGCGAGUACAGCGGCGCACGGGUGAGUAACACGUAGGUAACCUACCCUGGGGAUCGGGAUAACCUGUCGAAAGACGGGCUAAUACCGGAUAAGACCACGGGAGCCUCGGCUCCUGAGGUAAAAGAUGGCCUAUGCCUGCAAGCUAUUACCCCGGGAUGGGCCUGCGCACCAUUAGCUAGUUGGUGAGGUAACGGCUCACCAAGGCGAAGAUGGUUAGCUGGUCUGAGAGGAUGAUCAGCCACACUGGGACUGAGACACGGCCCAGACUCCUACGGGAGGCAGCAGUGGGGGAUAUUGCGCAAUGGGCGAAAGCCUGACGCAGCGACGCCGCGUGGGUGACGAAGGCCUUCGGGUCGUAAAGCCCUGUCAGGAGGGACGAAACCUCGCCGACCUAAUAUGUCGGCGACCUGACGGUACCUCCAAAGGAAGCACCGGCUAACUCCGUGCCAGCAGCCGCGGUAAUACGGAGGGUGCGAGCGUUGUUCGGAAUCACUGGGCGUAAAGCGCGUGUAGGCGGCUUCUUAAGUCUGGUGUGAAAUCCCGGGGCUACCCCC
rnacentral:rRNA from 1 species